ACUUGCAGCACGUUGUCCACGGCACCCGUCUCCAGCAGGCGGAUGCCUCUGCGGAAGGGGAGCCCCUCGGUGACGGCGGCGCUGGCAGGGACGCCCGAGGCCGGUCCCUCUUGUGGUAGAAACAAGGAAAGCAAUGUUAAAAGUCCGUUUCAAGAGGAACGUGGAAGAUACCGUACAUCUCAAGCCUUUCAUUUGGUUCCUGAAAGCUGCAGUAGCUGUGGAGAUAGAUGUUUAUUGCAAAGGAUCAAGCUAUCUGGGCUGGUAGAGUUUUCAGCGAUUUGAAGCUGAACACCAUGAGAUGCUGCAGGAAACAGGAGCUUCAGUAUAUAUAUGCAUAGUGUCCUUGACUGAAGAGAAAAGCUGACUGACAAGGAGCGACCCAAGUAUACAGAGAACCUUUUCCAAUUGCAAAAUGUCUUAUUAACUAAAUCUCAGCAAGCUAGUGUUUGCAUGGUGGAGACCAAUGGCACCACACACACACCCUUCUAAGGUUUGGUCUGAAUCAAAAUGGUGUCCGGCAUCUAAAUGUCAAUGAAGACUGCUGUCCCCACCUCAGGAACUCUCAUGCCAAGUCUGGCAGCGAUAUCUGGAGGCAGCCAAAACUAUCCCAAAAAAGUCACGCCAAAGCCACGUUUUGAUUUGAAUCAAGAUGGCACCUGGCAUCCAAACAGUUACAAAGUCUGCCACCCUUCAUGCUGCGUUUGGUGAUGAUAUCUUGAGAGGUAGCUGAACCCACACACAAAAAUUGGGCAAAGUCAUGCCCAAGUAACAUUUGGGUUCUCCACCUUGAUUCAAAAUGGCAACCAGAAUCCAAACCCCAACAACAACAACUGCCCUCCUCUCCACCUGCAGCUCAGGAACCCUCAUGCCAAGUAUGGCAAUGGUAUCUCAUGAGGCAGCUGAACCUAUGAAGAACAGAGGGACAGAUCGAUGG